AGGCUCUGGCUGUCAACCGGGGCCAGCCCACUUUUGAGGGCCAAGCUGAGGGAGGAGGGGCCUACCCAGACCUGGCCACCACCCCCACCCCCACGGGCGUCAAGGUGGAGGUGGACCCGGCCAAAGUGGCGGUGCUGACCACGGUGUACUGCAUGGCCAAGGAGGACGUGCCCGACGACCGCUGCUCUGCCCUGCUUGAGCUGCAGAGGUUCAACCUGUGCCAGGCGCUGCUGGGCACGGAGCAUGGCGAUUACUACAGCCCCAGGAGGGUGAGGGACAUGCAGGUGGGUGGCAGCCAGAGGUGUGGGGGAGGGCUCGAGGAGGGAGGACAUGGAGCUGUCUGGGCACAGCGCCAGCAUGCCAGGCCCCCGGGCAACAGCCAGAACGCUUCAUUCAUACCUUCACCCAGCAGAACCUUUCACUGAGGCGUAUCAUGUGCCAGGCCCUGGGCCAGCUGCUGGGGGCACAGCUUGGAAGAGGCCAGACCAGGCCCUGUCCUCAGGGGCACAGAGGUUUUCCCUCGCUGUCUAGGCCAGAGGUUGCAAGCCUGGAGCCUCGAUCGGCCCACAGAUACAUUUUGUUGAUUUUCACAGUGCUUUUGGAAAACCUAAGUUAAUUUCCAAGUUAAAAAAAAAAAAAAAGAAGUGAGAGAUUACACAUAAAAAUGUGGAUUUGUGACUUCUGAAAAGCUAGGUCCCUAUGCUCUCAGGGCAUGAAGAGCAGACCCGGGGCUUCGCCAUUCCCUUUGGUGUAUCCCUGGCCCACUUCAAGCCCAGUACCGCCCAUGUGGCCCCAGGGGGCAUGCAAGUUGCAGCUCUGUCCUAGGUACCAGUUGUGUGAGUCCUAGGGGCUGGGGUGAGGGUGGGAGAGUUCGAUCUCAUCCUACAGAGUGAUCGAUGACAGACAGACAAACGGAGCACACAGUUGGGGUUCUAUGUAACUGGGAGGGAACAUGUCUAUCAGUUAAUCCCUGAGCAGCAGAGUGGAGGGAGACUCCCAGGAAUAAGGCGGACUAGGGCAAUGCCAUAAAAGCACACAUAAAAUGCUAUAGAAUCUUUAUGGUUCCUAAAGCAUUUUUACACUUACAAGCACAGCAACAUUUGUAAUUGCUGACAACCCUUUUUUUUUUUAAUUAUUCAUUUUUGAGAGAGAGAGAGAACAUGAGCAGGGGAGGGGCGGAGAGAAUGGGAGACACAAAAUCUGGAGCAGGCUCUGAGCUAUCAGCACAGAACCUGACGCGGGGCUCGAACUGGCAAACCAGGAGAUCAUGGCCUGAGCCAAAGUCGGAUGCCUAACUGACUGAGCCACCCAGGCGCCCCAAUUGGUAGCAACCUUUUAAGAGCUUAGAGGCAGGCAGUGGCCUGAUUUCAGAGCUGAGGAAACUGAGGCUCAGAGAGAUGAAAUAACUUGCCCAAGAUCACACAGCCAGUAAGAUGCAAAGCUAGGAGUGGUCUGUCUGCCCCCAAGGUCUGUGCCCUUUCUUUCCCCAGUACUGCUGCCUCCCCUUUGCAGGAGGAGCCUAACUCUGUCCCUUCCUUUCUCUCCCUGGCUGUCCCAGGUGGCCAUUGCCAGUGUCUUGCACACAGAGGCCUGCCAGCGCCUGAAGGCAUCCCCAUAUGUGGGGCUGGUGUUGGACGAGACCAGGGACUGGCCCGAGUCCCACAGUCUGGCCUUGUUUGCCACUUCGGUGUCCCCCUGUGAUGGCCAGCCUGCUACCACCUUCCUGGGCAGUGUGGAGCUACAGGAGGGUGAGGCCACCGCUGGCCAACUCCUGGACAUCCUGCAGGCCUUCGGCGUGUCUGCACCCAAGCUGGCCUGGCUCAGCUCGAGCCUCCCCAGUGACCGCCUUGGGCGUGUGGGCCCACAACUCCGGGCCGCCUGCCCGCUGCUCACCGAACUACACUGCCUCCCUGGCCGGACAGAUCCCGAGCCCCCUGCCUACCUAAGCGAAUAUGAAAGUGUGCUGGAUGCCCUAUUCCGCCUCCAUGGUGGCCCCAGUUCUCACAUGGUCCCUGAGCUGCGGGCAGCACUGGAC
rnacentral:lncRNA from 1 species